AUGAUGUGAACCAGUGACGCUAUCACCCUGAAGCAGGAGCACAGAGGCACGUGUGACCUGUGUUGGGACUAAACCAGUAAUAGCAUCACUGCAGAGCAAACAAGCACCAGGCCUCUCUUCAGCACCAACAUUAAGGGCAGUGAGGCAUCUAGCAUUUGAAAGCAAAAGUAAAUUGAAUCCUCUUGAAGAAAAUUAUCUUCGACAAUAUCAAGGGGAAGAUGAAGAAAUGAUGUGCACAAGAGUUGAAGAACCUGCUCUCGGUUAAACUGCUAACAUGGCUGGUUAAGGAUUCAAUCUUCACUUUAUAUGAUUCCAAAGACUGUGUUAUUCUCCAUACUCCUGUCUCAACUGUUGCAGAAUCACAGGAUCUAAUAUUGCAAAUAAGCUUAUAGAUGGAUCUAA